UCCCUGGUGGCCCAGUGGCUAAAGCUCCAUGCUCCCAGUGCUGGGAGUCCAGGUUCGAUCCCUGGUCAGGGAA
rnacentral:tRNA from 1 species